rnacentral:lncRNA from 10 species
AUUUUUCUUUCCCCUCCAUGGGGGUGGUGGGAGGGUGUUUCCCUUUACCCCAAACAGACUGUGAGGUGGUUCAAGAAGGCUCUGACCUUGACCUGUGUCAGUUAGAAUCUGUGUAGCCCAGAGGCUGGUGGCAGAUCAUGCCUGGAAACAGCCUAAAGGCCAGAGGCUGUGGCUGACUGGUGCCCUGGUGGCAGAGGAAAUGGCUGCACUGGAAUCAGCCUGUGCUCCUGCAUUGCCAGGGGGUGCAGUGUACAAAUUGGGCAGUUGCAGGAGGGAAUCAUAGGCUGCUGCUGGGAUGUGCUAUGACUUGGUCUAUGAAUUAGCUACACUCAAUUAAUAUGUGGAAGACAACUCUUCAAGCUGUACACUUAAGAUGAGUGUACUUUUUGCAUUUAAUUGUAUAUUCUUUCUAUAAAAAUUAUUGUAUGAGUUUCCUAUUGUUGUAACAAGUAACCACAAAUUUAGAAGCUUAAAACAACACAAAUUUAUUAUCUCACAGCUCUGGAGGUUAUAAGUCUGAAAUGGGUCUCGAGAUGUUGGGAGGGCUGCAUUCCUUGAUGGAGGCUGUAAUUUUCUAAUUUUACUAUUCACUUAUCUUUCAACAGAUGCUCAGUGAUUGUCAGCCACUAAAAGCCUCUAAUUACAACCUAUCUGCACUUCUAAUUCCACCCUAUUCUCCCCAUGCAGGUAGAUGACUAGGUUAGGCUUUUAUUUUCAAGAAGGCUAAAGAAUAAGGUACAUUCAGCUUGUUAAAGGCAUAUUCAACUUAUUGAUACUAUCCUGUUGCCUAUACAUUUACAGACAUUCAUGUGACUAUCAUUAUUAUUAGAGAGAAUGUUCUAAUCAUUCUCUCUCUAUAAAGGUGUUUUCUCAGGGCCCACUGUAUGGUUAGAAAUUGGAAAAGACCUUCCAGUUUCCUUCACAGAUGAUUCUCCUCACAUUCUCUCCAUUUGCUUUUUUAAUAUAUUUUUUGAGACAGGGUCUUACAAUGUUACCCAGUCUGGAAUUCAGUGGCGUGAUCAAGUCUCACUGCAGCCUCAACCUUCUGGGUUCAAACAAUUCUCUCAUCUCAGCCUCCCAAAUAUCUGGAAUUACAGGCCUCUCGAUAUAUUGUCCAGGCUGGUCUUGAACUCCUGGGCUCAAGUGAUUCUCCCAUUUCGUCCUCCCAAAGUCUUGAGAUUACAGGUGUGAGCCACUGUGCCUGGCCUUCAUUCAAAUUUGCCUGUGUAUUUUUUUAUUCUUGACAAAUGAGUCAGCAAAGUUGCAAAUGUCCCCUUAUUUGACUUGGUUCAGUGUUUCAAUGUCAUUCCAAAACAAAGAUGCCAGGGAUGCUGUUCCAAAGUCUGUGGUCUCUAUGUGUAUGGAAGCACUAGUGAGGGCACGCUAUUUCUCUUUCUACUCAAUCCACACACUGGGAUGAUGGCUACAAAUGCUCAUUGUGUUACGGGAUCCUUGUGGUGUCGCUUCGCCUGCUGGAAACCUCUGUGGCCAGUGGUGCCUUUGCCCAAGUUUUGUUCUGGCCUGCUGGGCUUGUUCCACCCAGUUGGCCCAGCAGGCUGCACUCAGCUCAUGCUACUGGCCUGGAUCCCAUGCCUGCCAAGGGCAAGCCAGGCGUGGAGUAAUGAAGGGUAUGUGAGUGAGCGUGGGGUCUAGCCACCGCACAUAGCUGGGCAUGCCAGCUGCUGCUGUGGGGCAAGCAACUCCAGGUGCUGGUGUGGGUGCUGGCUCCCUGCAAGGCUGCAUCUGGACUAGGUGCACCACAAGCAGCUUCCAUAGCUGGCACUGGCAAAUGCUCUGGGGCCUGGAAGCUUGCAGACUCCAGAAGCUGCAGGGCUCCAAAGAGGGAGUCACAGCCCUGGCUCAGGGAACACCCAGGCCUGGGAUCCCCAAAGGGCCGCAGCUCUUCUCUCCCUCUUUUUGCCUGCAAUGUGGCGAGCAGGGGCAUGUUUCAGCCCUGUUUGUGUUACAGCUCUUUUAGCCCUGCCAUUCAGUGGGUCCUGAGUUCUUGUCCUAUGUCCAGGAAGAAUGAGGUAUGCAGGCAAGUGGAGGGUGAGCGAGAUGAAGAGGAGUUUUAUUAAGCAAUAGAACAGCUCAGAGGAGAACCACAGUAGGUAGCUCCUCUCUGUAGCCAAGGUGUCACAAUGAGUGGUCAGCUCUCGCAGAGAGGGUAGCUCCCCUCUGUAGUCAGGUAAAUCCGAGGAGUGUUCAGCUCUCAGCAGAGAGGGUAGGUCCUCUCUGCAGGCAGGUCAUCCUGUCACCUCUUCAGUUCUCAGCACAGAGGUAGCACCUCUCUGCAGGCAGGUCAUCCUGUUGUCUCUGCAGCUGUCAGCAGAGAGGAGGCCCUGGAGUGGGUGAAUCCUCUCUUCAGGCAGGUCAUCUUGUCAUCUCUUCAGCUCUCAGCACAGAGGUAGUGUCUCUCUGCAGGCAGGUUGUCCUGUCAUCUCUGCAGCUCUCAGCAGAGAGGAGGCCCUGGAGUAGAUGGAUCCUCUCUGCAGGCAGGUCAUCCCUUCAUCUCUCUGUCUUCUCCCCAUCAUCUCUCCAU